rnacentral:rRNA from 1 species
GUGGGGAAUAUUGGACAAUGGGCGAAAGCCUGAUCCAGCCACGCCGCGUGAGUGAUGAAGGCCUUCGGGUUGUAAAGCUCUGUGGGGAGGGAAGAAAAAGCGCAGGAGUAACUGCCUGUGUGUUGACGGUACCUCCUUAGCAAGCACCGGCUAACUCUGUGCCAGCAGCCGCGGUAAUACAGAGGGUGCAAACGUUGCUCGGAAUUACUGGGCGUAAAGCGCGUGUAGGCUGACAUGCAAGUCGGGUGUGAAAUCCCAGGGCUCAACCUUGGAACUGCACUCGAAACUGCACGUCUUGAGUACUGGAGAGGGAAGCGGAAUUCCGGGUGUAGAGGUGAAAUUCGUAGAUAUCCGGAGGAACACCAGUGGCGAAGGCGGCUUCCUGGACAGUAACUGACGCUGAGACGCGAAAGCGUGGGGAGCAAACAGGAUUAGAUACCCCGGUAGUCC